UACAGAGGCUGCAAGCGUUAUUCGGAUUCACUGGGCGUAAAGCGCACGUAGGCGGCUUCGCAAGUCGGAUGUGAAAUCCCUCGGCUCAACCGAGGACGUGCAUACGAAACUGCGGAGCUUGAGUGCUGAAGAGGAUCGCGGAAUUCCCGGUGUAGAGGUGAAAUUCGUAGAUAUCGGGAGGAACACCAGUGGCGAAGGCGGCGAUCUGGGCAGAAACUGACGCUGAGGUGCGAAAGCGUGGGGAGCAAACAGG
rnacentral:rRNA from 1 species